GAAUAUGAAGGAAAACUGGCUGUGACACCUGUCAACUACAUUGAUUUUCAGCAUUGAUACAGAUGGUCUGAGCUGAUCCCUGAUCUCCCUUAUCACUUCAUUUGUGUUCCUUCUAGAGCUAUGUGCUUAUUCAAAGUGAAUGACCUUUUUAAAGAAGACCAGUCAUGAAGGGUAUUUAAAAGGUACAUUCCCUAUGUAUAAUUUCCAGGCAUGUCACACUUUAUUCAAAGGUAAAUCUGUAGGAUAUAAAUCUGUAGAACAAAUAGACACAAUUUGGUUGGGUGAGUCCUUUUUCU
rnacentral:snRNA from 1 species